rnacentral:rRNA from 1 species
GACGAACGCUGGCGGCGUGCUUAACACAUGCAAGUCGAACGGAAAGGCCUGCUUUCCCUUGUGGAUUGCGGGUACUCGAGUGGCGAACGGGUGAGUAACACGUGAGUGAUCUGCCCCCAACUUGGGUAUAAGCCUGGGAAACUGGGUCUAAUUCCCGAUAGGACUGCAGGGUGGUGCCUGUGGUGGAAAACGAUUUUCUAGUGGUUGGGGAUGAGCUCGCGGCCUAUCAGCUUGUUGGUGGGGUAAUGGCCUACCAAGGCGGCGACGGGUAGCCGGCCUGGGAGGGUGGACGGCAACAUUGGGACUGAGAUACGGCCCAGACUCCUACGGGAGGCAGCAGUGGGGAAUAUGGCACAAUGGGCGGAAGCCUGAUGCAGCGACGCCGCGUGGGGGAUGACGGCCUUCGGGUUGUAAACUCCUUUCGACCGCGAGGAAGCCACCUGGUUGGAAGGGUGGUGACGGUAGUGGUAGAAGAAGCACCGGCUAACUACGUG